rnacentral:rRNA from 1 species
UACGUAGGGGGCGAGCGUUGUCCGGAGUUACUGGGCGUAAAGCGCACGCAGGCGGUCUUUUAAGUUUGGAGUGACAGUUGGUGGCUUAACUGCCAAAGUGCUUCGAAAACUGAAAGACUUGAGGGCUUCAGAGGGACACGGAAUUCCGGGUGGAGUGGUGAAAUGCGCAGAUAUCAGGAGGAACACCAAUGGCGAAGGCAGCUCGCUGGGACGGUACUGACGCUGAGACGCGAAAGCGUGGGGAGCAAACAGG